rnacentral:tRNA from 2 species
GGGGGAGUGGCGGAACUGGCAGACGCGCAUGACUUAGGAUCAUGUCUCUCACGAGGUGAGGGUUCGAGUCCCUCCUUCCCCACAA